UUCACCGCGAGCGCCGUCGUAGCUGGCAUUUUAUUUUAUGAAGAAUUUUAUGGUUUAUCUUUGAUAUACAUCAUCAUGUUUGUGAUCGGGUGUCUGCUGGCGUUUACUGGAGUGUUUCUAAUCGCGAGAGCUCGUCCCAGAAUCAAGAUGGACCGCGUGUUCAUUUCAAUGGGCCAGAUUCCAGGCAAAAGCUGUACGGAUAAAGUGCAGCCGCAAUCAGACGACAGUAAAUAUGGAAAACUGGCGUCUAAACUCACGUGUAACAGCGGGAUUCAGGACGAGCCGUAGACGGAGUGCCCCCUGCAGGAGGAACAGAGAACCACACUAACACUCGUGUGUGUGUGUGUGUGUGUGUGUGUGUGUGUGUGAGAGAGUGUGUGUGUGUGUGUGAGAG